UAGGGAAUCUCCGCAAUGGGCGAAAGCCUGACGGAGCAACGCCGCGUGAGUGAUGAAGGUCUUCGGAUCGUAAAACUCUGUUAUUAGGGAAGAACAAAUGUGUAAGUAACUAUGCACGUCUUGACGGUACCUAAUCAGAAAGCCACGGCUAACUACGUGCCAGCAGCCGCGGUAAUACGUAGGUGGCAAGCGUUAUCCGGAAUUAUUGGGCGUAAAGCGCGCGUAGGCGGUUUUUUAAGUCUGAUGUGAAAGCCCACGGCUCAACCGUGGAGGGUCAUUGGAAACUGGAAAACUUGAGUGCAGAAGAGGAAAGUGGAAUUCCAUGUGUAGCGGUGAAAUGCGCAGAGAUAUGGAGGAACACCAGUGGCGAAGGCGACUUUCUGGUCUGUAACUGACGCUGAUGUGCGAAAGCGGGGGGAUCAAACAGG
rnacentral:rRNA from 1 species